CCUACGGGUGGCAGCAGUCGAGAAUCAUUCACAAUGGGGGAAACCCUGAUGGUGCGACGCCGCGUGGGGGAAUGAAGGUCUUCGGAUUGUAAACCCCUGUCAUGUGGGAGCAAAUUAAAAAGAUAGUACCACACGAGGAAGAGACGGCUAACUCUGUGCCAGCAGCCGCGGUAAUACAGAGGUCUCAAGCGUUGUUAGGAAUCACUGGGCGUAAAGCGUGCGUAGGCUGUUGCGUAAGUCGUGUGUGAAAGGCGCGGGCUCAACCCGCGGACGGCACAUGAUACUGCGAGACUAGAGUAAUGGAGGGGGAACCGGAAUUCGCGGUGUAGCAGUGAAAUGCGUAGAUAUCGAGAGGAACACUCGUGGCGAAGGCGGGUUCCUGGACAUUAACUGACGCUGAGGCACGAAGGCCAGGGGAGCGAAAGGGAUUAGAUACCCGGGUAGUC
rnacentral:rRNA from 1 species